GACCUUGUGACGCAAGAGAUAGUGUGUUGGACUUCCAAUUCAAAUGUCGUGGGUUUGAAUCCCACCUGGGAUGGCCU